rnacentral:misc_RNA from 1 species
AACGCACAUUGCGCCCGCCAGUAUUCUGGCGGGCAUGCCUGUUCGAGCGUCAUUUCAACCCUCAAGUCCUGCUUGGCGUUGGGGCCCUACGGCUGCCGUAGGCCCUGAAAAUUAGUGGCGGGCUCGCUAGGACUCCGAGCGUAGUAGCGUAUCCUCGCUCGCGGCGUCCCGGCGCGCGCCGGCCGUGAAACCCCCCACAUCUCAAGGUUGACCUCGGAUCAGGUAGGAAUACCCGCUGAACUUAA